rnacentral:rRNA from 1 species
AGACCGAUAGCGAACAAGUAGAGUGAUCGAAAGAUGAAAAGCACUUUGAAAAGAGAGUUAAACAGCACGUGAAAUUGUUGAAAGGGAAGCGUUGUCCACCAGACUCGCCCGGGGGGGCUCAGCCGGCACGUGUGCCGGUGUACUCCCCUCCGGGCGGGCCAGCAUCGGUUUGGGCGGCUGGUGAAAGGCCCCGGGAAUGUAACACCCUCCGGGGUGCCUUAUAGCCCGGGGUGCCAUGCAGCCAGCCUGGGACCGAGGCCCGCGCUUCGGCGAGGAUGCUGGCGUAAUGGUGGUCAACGGCCCGUCUUGAAACACGGACCAAG